GAUGGAAUGUAUAGCGAAAGCUAAUUGUAUUAAAUAUAUACAAUACCGAUUUAUUCGGCUAAAAUUCUGGGUAGAGUUUUGACGAUGACAUUACCUACCUAUAUGUCUUGACCAAAUUCUGUGCCAGCAGUCGCGGCAAUACAAAGAAGACUUGUGUUAUUCAUGUUUAGUCGGUUUAAAGGGUAACUAGACGGUAAAUCAAGCCAUAUUGGGACUAAUUUACUAGAGUUUAAUAUAAGGGAGCAUUAAAGUACUGAUGGUGUAGAGAUGAAAUUCGUUGAUACCAUAUAUGGCACAGGUUUAGGCGAAAGCAUCUCCUUAUGUAAAAACUGACGUUCAGGGACGAAGGCUAUGUGCAGCGAAUAGGAUUAGAUACCCUAGUAGUUUUAGCAGAAAAUGAUGAAUGCCAUAGGGUAGUAAAUAUACAAUGAAGUUGUGGUAUGCUUCAUAGGGAAUGCUUUAGGUGGCAAUCUCUAUUGUUAUUGUAUAUUGUUAUUCUAUAAAUGAAAGUGUAAGCAUUCCACCUCAUGAGUAAUUUGGCAACAUUGGAAUUGAAAUCAUUAGACCGUUUCUGAUACAAGCAGUGAAGUAUGUUAUUUAAUUUGAUAAUCCGCAAAAAACCUUACCACAUUUUGAAUAUUGCUUUAAAGUAUUACAAGUGCUGCAUGGUUGUCUUCAGUUAAUGUCGUGAGACUUUGGUUAACUCCACCUAAUUAACGUAAACCCUAAUUUUAUUUAUUAAUAGAUUAGAUCCCCUUUAUAUUGGAUAUGAUACAUGG
rnacentral:rRNA from 1 species